UACGGGGGGGGCAAGCGUUGUUCGGAAUUACUGGGCGUAAAGGGCUCGUAGGUGGCCAACUAAGUCAGACGUGAAAUCCCUCGGCUUAACCGGGGAACUGCGUCUGAUACUGGAUGGCUUGAGUUCGGGAGAGGGAUGCGGAAUUCCAGGUGUAGCGGUGAAAUGCGUAGAUAUCAGGAGGAACACCGAUGGCGAAGGCAGCUCGCUGGGACGGUACUGACGCUGAGGCGCGAAAGCGUGGGGAGCGAACAGG
rnacentral:rRNA from 1 species